GCCAGCACCAUGGGGACCACAGGAAUGUGACUGUAAGGUCUUGGCUAUGUGUCCUCAGACAGGAGAUCAUGCUGCUUCCCAGAAGUGCCUUUGUCCAUGAGCAAUUGUAUGGUGGUCUGGACAGGAAAGCAGGAAAAUACCUUUGAUAUCCAGGAGUCUAGAGGCACUUACUUUCAGGAUGAAGGUCUGGCACAGCAUCUUCUGUCAUCAAUGGGAGCCCUUCCUCUGACUUGCAGAAAGAGAGGUAGUGUCUUAAUUUGUGAUUUUCAGUUUUUGAAUUUUCUGAAGUGCAUUGUCCAACUCAGUCUUCAGAUGCCUUCC
rnacentral:lncRNA from 1 species